AAAAAAACGUGUAGUAGUUUUUCUUAUACUGUGUUUAGUCUCCUUAGGUACAAAAAGAAACGAUUCGGUGUAUAGUAGUGCUAAAUAUAGGGUCCAAAAAGUGCAAUAAGUGGGUAGCUCCAAAUAUAGUCAAACCGCUCCCAACGGUCACUACUACCGAAUAAUAUAAUCUAGAAGAAAAAGGUCCACGAACGGGCCUUUUUCUUUGUCUUCGACAGCCAUCUUGACGGGGCGCAACCUAUUGUGUUUGUGAAUCAAAAGGAACACAGGAAAC